rnacentral:rRNA from 1 species
GGCGCACGGCUCAGUAACACGUAGUCAACCUACCCUGGGGACGGGGAUAACCUCGGGAAACUGAGGCUAAACCCCGAUGGGCCAUGGCUCCUGGAAUGGGCUAUGGCUGAAAUCUACAUGGCCCCAGGAUGGGACUGCGGCCGAUCAGGUUGUUGGUGGGGUAAUGGCCCACCAAGCCUAUAACCGGUGCGGGCUCUGAGAGGAGGAGCCCGGAGAUGGGCACUGAGACAAGGGCCCAGGUCCUAUGGGGCGCAGCAGGCGCGAAACCUCCGCAAUGGGCGAAAGCCCGACGGGGUCAGUCCGAGUGGUUCCCGCUGAGGGAACCUUUUGCCAGCUGUAAACAGGCUGGCGAAUAAGGGGUGGGCAAGUUUGGUGUCAGCCGCCGCGGUAAUACCAGCACCCCGAGUGGUCGGGACGAUUAUUGGGCCUAAAGCAUCCGUAGCCGGCCCAGUAAGUCCUCCGUUAAAUCCAACGGCUCAACCGUUGGGCCGCGGGGGAUACUGCUAAGCUAGGGGGCGGGAGAGGCGAGGGGUAUUCCCAGGGUAGGGGUAAAAUCCGUUGAUCCUGGGAG